UACGGAGGGGGCUAGCGUUGUUCGGAAUUACUGGGCGUAAAGCGCACGUAGGCGGACCAGAAAGUUGGGGGUGAAAUCCCGGGGCUCAACCUCGGAACUGCCUUCAAAACUAUUGGUCUGGAGUUCGAGAGAGGUGAGUGGAAUUCCGAGUGUAGAGGUGAAAUUCGUAGAUAUUCGGAAGAACACCAGUGGCGAAGGCGACACUCUGGCCCAAUACUGACGCUGAGGUGCGAAAGCGUGGGGAUCAAACAGG
rnacentral:rRNA from 1 species